rnacentral:rRNA from 1 species
UACGUAGGGAGCAAGCGUUUGUCCGGAUUUACUGGGCGUAAAGAGCGCGUAGGCGGAACGUUAAGCGGGGCCGGAAAGCCCCCGGCUCAACCGGGGAAGGGGCCGCGAACUGGCGUUCUUGAGGGGAGAGGGGAGAGCGGAAUUCCUGGUGUAGCGGUGGAAUGCGCAGAUAUCAGGAGGAACACCAAUAGCGAAGGCAGCUCGCUGGGACGGUACUGACGCUGAGGCGCGAAAGCGUGGGGAGCGAACGG